CAACAACCGCUUAUGUUUUAACACACUGUGCACACGUGCUGGGCAAUCACUGCGCAUAAAGCGCAUGGUUUUGUGGUUCCCGGAUUGCUAUUAUGUAUAAUAAAUGUUUUGCGUUGCAUUUGGGACACAGAGAGUAAUGGCCGAACCAUUUUGUACACACCGGUCUUACUGACCUAUGUACUAACGCGAAAGGAAUUGUGGGUAGCACUUCUUUUACAAGUGAAAAGCGAAAGGUCAGAACCAUUUUGGCGGAAGCAUAAUUCCCCAAACCAGGGGAAUGUGAUGCGUCUAAGAAUAGAGGUGACAAUAACGUAGUGACGUCACCAUCUAUGUAUAGAAUGAUGGCCGAACAGUUGUCAUUCAAGUACGUCGUUGAGGAAUGCUUAUCUGAGGAUCCGAAAGAGGCUGGCUCAGAUGACGAGGAAGCUAACUUGGAUGGUGAUGAAAUUAAUAAGAGAUUUGUAUUGUAUUCUAAAGAUUGAAUAAAUGAAUGCUUCUUU